GCUCCCCUCUCCCGAGCAGAUGCAGGGCAGCUCCUCUCAGAGACAGACGCCAUGCCCAUGUGCUCCAGAGCAGACACGAUGAAGCUCCGACCCAGGAUGGACGUAGGCUAGAAUCUUCCCGUGUGUACAGCAUGUGUAUGCAGGUACCCACGAAGCAAGAAGAGGAUCAUGGGUGCUGGGAAUCCAGGUCUCUGCAAGAGCAGCAAGUCUGCUUAUCGGAUGAGCCCUGAGCCCUCUCUCCAGCCCUCAGUAAAGUUCUCAAAUUCCAAGGAUAAAGAAUAAUAAGAACCUUCAUCUAGCGAUGGAUGGAGAUAGAGACAGAGACCCACACUGGAGCACCGGACUGAGCUCCCAAGGUCCAAAUGAGGAGCAGAAGGAGGGAGAACAUGAACAACGAAGUCAGGACCACGAGGGGUGCACCCUCCCACUGAGACAGUGGGGCUGAUCUAUUGGGAGCUCACCAAGGCCAGCUGGACUUUGACUGAAAAAGCAUGGGAUAAAACCGGACUCUCUGAACAUGGCGGACAAUGAGAGCUGAUGAAAGGCCAAGGACAAUGGCACGGGGUUUUGAUCCUACUUCAUGUUCUGGCUUUGUGGGAGCCUAGACAGUUUGGAUGUUCACCUUCCU